GCCUGGCUGGCUCAGUCAGAAGAGCAUGUGACUCUUGAUCUCAGUGUUCGUGAGUUCAAGCCCCACACUGGGUG
rnacentral:tRNA from 1 species